GAAAGUGUUGAACAAAGGAGGCUCUGCAGGGAGGAAACUCAGGAUCAUUAUGGCCCCAACGACACAGGAAGCCGAGGGAGCUUGAGAAGUCACCUUUGGUAUCUACAGCAUCGAUGUUAAGGGAGGUGAUACCGCCACUCCUCCAGCCGAUGUUGGAAUUGUGAUUCAGGGUGUUGAAGUUCUGCACGACUUGGGAGACUUUGCCUCUGCAUGUGCCCUGAGUUAUCCUAACAGACUGAAAGCCUUCUUUGAAGUACUUCAAAAGUUCUUCCUUCAAAUGGAUGCUUGCAGACUCUCAACCAAGGUACAGCUGCUCAUUAACUAACUGUACAAAUGAGACAAUCACUGAUUUGGAUGCUGAAUGUUUCAUCGAACAGGAGAAAUAUUUUGGGCCGAAACUGAAAAAAAUGAUCUGUUUGAAAAUAGAGCAGAGAAACUACACUUGAGGAAAACAACCAAUUUCUUUGCAAACUUUUGAAAAACUUAUCAUACAUGAAAAGUGGUAGUUGAGUGGCACUACUAGAGAAGUGAUGUAGAAUUGAGAGACCAUGCUACGCAAAAACGGUUGAUAUAUAACUAUGGCUAUUUUGUGGAUGUUUUAACACUAAGCUGCAUCAAAAACAACUGCAAGGAAGUUCAAUCAUCAGACCAUCUUAACCAUCGUUAAAGAAAUCCUACUGUAGAGUAGAUGUUUGUUAAAGUGUUGCCACUGAAAACUUUAUUUUAGAUGUUAAGGCUGUUAGAUGGAGAGACUAUUAUUUUGUAAACAAAUUUGAAAACUGUAAAAAGUAUUAUUUAUUAAACCAUAAAAAGUGAGUUAUUUAUUAAAGUGUGAAUUAUUUAUAUAUUUGCUGUCAAUCGAUCGACUAAUAUUUGCAGCUGUAAUUCCAUGUGUUACAAAUGUGUACAUGCAUUGAAAUGUUAGUUUAUAGAAUGGCACCAAAAUGUUACUGAAUCACUGCUGUGUUGAUGAAUAAAGGAAAUAAGAAAACUA